rnacentral:rRNA from 1 species
GACGAACGCUGGCGGCGUGCUUAACACAUGCAAGUCGAGCGAGAAAGCUCCUUCGGGAGCGAGUACAGCGGCGAACGGGUGAGUAACACGUGGGCAACCUGCCCAAGGGAGCGGGACGAACCCGGGGAAACCCGGGCUAAUACCGCAUGAUGCGUCAUGUCUCAAGGCGUGACGCCAAAAGGUAGCUUCGGCCUCCGCCCUUGGAUGGGCCCGCGGCGCAUUAGCUUGUUGGUGGGAACGCCUACCAAGCGACGAUGCGUAGCUGGUCUGAGAGGACGAUCAGCCACACUGGGACUGAGACACGGCCCAGACUCCUACGGGAGGCAGCAGUGGGAAUCUUGCGCAAUGGGCGAAAGCCUGACGCAGCAACGCCGCGUGAGGGAAGAAGGC